UUCCUUACCUCUCCCGUCUGUGAGAAUCCCAUCUUUAUGACUCAACUUUAAUAUCGUCUCCUUUUUGAGGGCAUCCUCACCCUUGCUUAGCACACUUUUACUUCUACUCAGCCCGUAUUUUGUGCCAAGACUAAUUGUGGCCAUCUGCCUGCAAGUCCACCUCCCUCCCCACUGAGGUCCCUGAGGACAGAGCCGCUGAAGGGCCUAGCCCUUGGCGCCCCUCAGCAUUUGCUGCCUGCACACACGGUGAGUGUGGCCAGGCGCGAUUGUUAACUUUCCCGUUCUUUCUCUUCCAGUGUAUGAUUUGCCUUCAGGGUCCUCAAGCCUCUUCGGGGAGUCUCUUCGCAGCGGGCCUGAGGACGCCACGUUCCUGCAGAUCAGCGCCGUGGACCGCUGUCCUAGCCAGCUCUCCUCUGUUUAUACCGAAGGCUAAACGCUCCCCUGGCCUCCACCCCCACUGGCACUCAGAACCUUUUUGUCGCUUGCCACCUUUUAUUUUCAUAUUCUCAGAGACUGCAUGAAAAGGUUGUUCGCCUCAUCGGUGGACCCUGCAGAGGCACAGACGUGUCUCUGGAAGGCAGGACUGGCCGGAGCCGGGCUUUGCAGGAAUGUGUUCAGUUGCUCCUUUUUCCCUCUGGGUUUGCUGGUGACCAGCAGGACUGGCUUUUCAAAGGGAAUUUAGAGUCACUCUACUGGAUACCUGUGACUUCCAGCUGUCAGCUCUCAAAGGACACCAGUGAAAGGAUGCAUAUAUGAACAUAGAGUCUGGGGAUCACACUUGCACAGAACUCCAAAGAGGGAAGGACAACCCAAACUGCCAGAAGCACAGUGAACUCCCCCACUGCUCCCCGUCCACGCUGGCUCCUGCAAAAUCAGGCAACAGGGGAAACCUACAUCCAAGCACAGCUUGGGCUCAACUCCUGGAGAAGCCCUGGCUCCUGGCACCAGCCCUGGCCUGGCAGCCCGGGGAGCUGGCUGCCUCUUUCCUCUUACUAUGCCCAUGCUAACCAAUUGCUUUUCAAUAUUUCUCUGAAAGCAAAAUAAGAAGGUUCUGUCAAGCACAGUCCCUUGAAAGGCACUACGACUUGUUUUAUAUUCCAGCAACUUAUCUUAGUUCUUUUAUUUUUAAAGACUUGUUAUUUACAUCUACUUUUAAAGGAAAAAAAAAUAUUUAGAGGUCUGUUCUUUGGAUGGAAAGAAUUAGUGUAAUCACCCCAUUUACGUCCAUUUUGCCACCACUGUAGCUUGGCCUGGCCCCACCUCACCGCACCUGUGAGCAUCCCCCCCCCAGUAGUUUCACAUUUCACGAAAGCCACCUGAGGGAAAGGGGGUGGGCCCAGCCCCCUUCCCAGGGCCAUAGCGGAAACCCUGGUGGGUUGACUGUUCAGUGACUCCACCUCGAAGACCUCAUUCCAUGGAAAAGAUCGCUUGACUGAUUGACCCAUUGCCUCCACUUGGUACUGUGCCGAGUCAUGCUAGAAGAUGUGAGAACAGGGGCCCCCUGAGCUGAGAUCCUGGGUUCCCUCAGAAAACCCAACGAGAGGUGCCCAAUGUCCAGUGAUUUUUGCGUAGCUUCUGCUCACCUCCUUUCGGAUACCCACUCCCCGGUCUGUCCCUCCCCCGUACCGUCCUCUCCGUCCUCAUCAUUAUUCUCACCUCCUCCUUGUCUGCAGUCAGGCACAACCCACCCGCCCUCGCCUGACCAUCCUUCCUCCCCGCAAGGUCUGCUCUGAGGCAGGUAGAGGGAAAGUUCAGGGAAGGUAAGCAGAAGAAGUUAACUUUUUUCCCUGAAACUCUCCUUGAGGGCCUGGAAUGUUCACAGAGCUCUUGGUCAUUUGAUAGCAACCCUGAAUAGGAAACCACUUUCUGGGAUGCAUUGACAAAGCUGUUAAAAAGAUCUUAAGUCCAACACGUAGAUCCUAAAAAGUAGCCACACCCCAAAGACACGGGGUAAAGCCUGACAUUCCAGAACUGUCACAUUUCAGUUUCUUUCCUCUUGUAAAAUGAAAUAGUGCUAUUCGUCCCACUGAGAUCAUUACAGUGUCCAACAAGGGUUCACCAGCACAGUGUCACACCUGGGACCCGGGGACAGUUUGUCUCCUGACAGGCAGGUCCCCUCAGUCGGGCUGGACUUGAUCCCCAUGUGCCAUAGAGUGAGGGGACUAACGAGCCACGCGUGGGGGUCGCUUUUCCAGGGCCCGAGGUCAGUCCGCUUCCUCUGACUCGUGAGCUCUGAUCCGAGAAAGGCCACCAUGCAGGCAUCCAGAGCUGCAAAAGAGUGAGGUUACUCACUUUACAAAACUCUGCUCUGCUUUACGAAACAAGGCUCCUGCGGCUUCCCAGCCAGACGAGCUCCCAGACUGCGAGUAAAUGCCAGCCUCCUUGCAGACGUUGUGGGUUCUGUCACUUGGUGUAAACCAGGACACGUGCAUGCUAGCGCUGCUGUCCCCUGUGUGUCCCCGUGUCCCACUCCGGAAAGGAAGUAAAAUGAAGGGAUUGUGCCCUUGGUACAGAAUAAAACUGGAACUGGAGAAAACGGCCCACCUGCCUGAAAUCCCUGAAAUCCUCCUUCUGCACGGCCUUCUGAAACACAAUGGGAACAACCCAGGGUUUUGUUUGUUUGUUUGUUUGUUUGAUUAUUGUGUUUUGUUUUACCAUAAGCCUCCUUCCUAUUGGGGUGGUAAUUACAAUUAAAAGCAGAUGGGGGUGGGGGAGGGCGAGUCCAAGGCCAGCUUGAAAAUGCCGCAUCGCUUUGGGCCAGAGCUGCAGCCUGGAUUUAAUUAUAGAUAUGAGGACAAAAUGGCAGUAAAAAUGAAUGUGUCCCCGAAUCCUUUACAUGUUGGGAGUGUCCAUAAAUAAAACAUGAAGUUUUAUUUCAUCAGAUUUAAUUAAAGCUUUUAUACAUGUUU